CCUACGGGUGGCAGCAGUGGGGGAUAUUGCACAAUGGGGGAAACCCUGAUGCAGCGACGCCGCGUGGGUGAAGAAGCGCCUCGGCGCGUAAAGCUCUGUCAGCAGGGAAGAAAAUGACGGUACCUGAAGAAGAAGCCCCGGCUAACUACGUGCCAGCAGCCGCGGUAAUACGUAGGGGGCAAGCGUUAUCCGGAUUUACUGGGUGUAAAGGGGGCGCAGGCGGCGAUGCAAGCCAGGAGUGAAAGCCCGGGGCCCAACCCCGGGCCUGCUCUUGGAACUGCGUGGCUAGAGUGCAGGAGGGGCAGGGGGAAUUCCUGGUGUAGCGGUGAAAUGCGUAGAUAUCAGGAGGAACACCGGUGGCGAAGGCGGCCUGCUGGACUGCAACUGACGUUGAGGCCCGAAAGCGUGGGGAGCAAACAGGAUUAGAGACCCCGGUAGUC
rnacentral:rRNA from 1 species